GGAAGGGUCGCAUAGUGGUCUAGUGCACCGCCUUGGAAAGGCGGCAUACCGCAAGGUAUCGAGGGUUCAAAUCCCUCCCCUUCCGCCA
rnacentral:tRNA from 1 species